rnacentral:rRNA from 1 species
GCAAGUCGACGAUGAACCACUUCGGUGGGGAUUAGUGGCGAACGGGUGAGUAACACGUGGGCAAUCUGCCCUUCACUCUGGGACAAGCCCUGGAAACGGGGUCUAAUACCGGAUAACACUGCGGAUCGCAUGGUCUGUGGUUAAAAGCUCCGGCGGUGAAGGAUGAGCCCGCGGCCUAUCAGCUUGUUGGUGAGGUAGUGGCUCACCAAGGCGACGACGGGUAGCCGGCCUGAGAGGGCGACCGGCCACACUGGGACUGAGACACGGCCCAGACUCCUACGGGAGGCAGCAGUGGGGAAUAUUGCACAAUGGGCGAAAGCCUGAUGCAGCGACGCCGCGUGAGGGAUGACGGCCUUCGGGUUGUAAACCUCUUUCAGCAGGGAAGAAGCGAAAGUGACGGUACCUGCAGAAGAAGCGCCGGCUAACUACGUGCCAGCAGCCGCGGUAAUACGUAGGGCGCAAGCGUUGUCCGGAAUUAUUGGGCGUAAAGAGCUCGUAGGCGGCUUGUCACGUCGAUUGUGAAAGCCCGAGGCUUAACCUCGGGUCUGCAGUCGAUACGGGCUAGCUAGAGUGUGGUAGGGGAGAUCGGAAUUCCUGGUGUAGCGGUGAAAUGCGCAGAUAUCAGGAGGAACACCGGUGGCGAAGGCGGAUCUCUGGGCCAUUACUGACGCUGAGGAGCGAAAGCGUGGGGAGCGAACAGGAUUAGAUACCCUGGUAGUCCACGCCGUAAACGGUGGGAACUAGGUGUUGGCGACAUUCCACGUCGUCGGUGCCGCAGCUACGCAUUAAGUUCCCCGCCU